ensembl:snRNA U6 U6 spliceosomal RNA
GUGCUUGCUUUGGCAGCACAUGUAGUAAAAUUGGAAUGAUACAGAGAAGAUUAGCAUGUCCCCUGCGCAAAGAUGACUUGCAAAUGCAUGAAGCAUUCCAUAUUUUU